CCUACGGGUGGCUGCAGUGGGGAAUAUUGGGCAAUGGGCGCAAGCCUGACCCAGCAACGCCGCGUGAAGGAAGAAGGCUUUCGGGUUGUAAACUUCUUUUCUGAGGGACGAAGAAAGUGACGGUACCUCAGGAAUAAGCCACGGCUAACUACGUGCCAGCAGCCGCGGUAAUACGUAGGCGGCAAUCGUUAUCCGGAUUUAUUGGUUUUAAAGGGUGCGCAGGCGGUUUGUUAAGUCAGCGGUCAAAGCCCGGGGCUAAACCCCGGCCCGCCGUUGAAACUGGCAGUCUCGAGUUGGAGAGAGGUAUGCGGAAUGCGCGGUGUAGCGGUGAAAUGCAUAGAUAUCGCGCAGAACUCCGAUUGCGAAGGCAGCAUGCCGGCUCCACACUGACGCUGAGGCACGAAAGCGUGGGUAUCGAACAGGAUUAGAUACCCUUGUAGUC
rnacentral:rRNA from 1 species